rnacentral:tRNA from 1 species
CAAACGUCAUUCUCACGAGUACCCUCACAAGUUACUUGGUUCAACUGACCUCGGGUCUGUAGCCCAGUUGGUUAGAGCGCACCCCUGAUAAGGGUGAGGUCGGUGGUUCAAAUCCACCCAGACCCACCAAAUUUCCGCAUCUUGAACAAAUAAUUUCGCUCAUGUGUCAACGCACACUACGCAAAAUUCUUUGUCCAACCUGCGAAAAUUUACUUGUCUAAAUAUCAGUGGUGUAGCGCAGAUAAAUCUUCCUUGUGGAAGUUGUUAACCACCACAUGGAGUUUGAUAAUUUAAAUCCGCGAAAGUUGAUCAAUUUACUGAUCACGAGCUUUAACGCAGGAUUUUUUUCGUGUAACAAGGCGCGCGCCGGAGCGAGAGAGGGAGCGUACUAAUGUACGUGACCGAACGAACGACAAGCGCAACGCAGGGACACGGAAAAAAGACAAGUUAAAGGGGGCUAUAGCUCAGCUGGGAGAGCGCCUGCUUUGCACGCAGGAGGUCGGCGGUUCGAUCCCGCCUAGCUCCACCAAGACUUUUGCAAUGAGUUAGUAGAAAUAAGCACAGUUUAUUUCUGGUAACUCCAGAUACAUUUGAGCGCUGCUCAAACGAGGUUCUUUUACAAUCAGAAGCAAAGUUAUAGCAAGAUUAAAAAAUCUUGUUUUUUUAAUGCAUGUUAUUCAAAUCUCGCAUGCAUUAAAUGGGUA